CCAGACCCACAGGGCAAAAGGUACGUCGUCGUGUCCCAACCUCCUGGUCCCAGAAACCUGGCCGCACCAAGUCAGCGCUUCCCAUGCUGGAAGAAGCAAGCAGCCCCAGGGUGGAAUCUUAAAAAUUAAUGAAGAGCAUCGGCGGGGUGCCAUUCAGGACUUACUUGCAAGCCCAGGAUUUACAUUUGGAAAGCGAGUGGUGUUUGAUUCCCACUGUUUAAAAAGGCAACACACGUUCGCUGAUGGUCUACAUUCCAGCUGCACUAGCAUUCCCCCAAGUGAAAUAUGGCAUACAUUAACCAGAAGAGAAAAUUACAUUUAUUAAAAUAAUUAAAACAGUGUCAAAAGAAGUAAACGUUCAAAUGAGUUUUGUAAGUUUGUAGCAUUUCGACUUAAGAAGUUAUUAAAGCUUAAAACUGCACUGA
rnacentral:sRNA from 1 species